AUUUAAAUAGCUUAAAAUAGAGUAUUAUAUUGAAGAUAUAAGGGUAAAUUAAUUUUUUUUUAAAUA
rnacentral:tRNA from 1 species